UACCAGCACCCCGAGUGGUCGGGACGUUUAUUGGGCCUAAAGCAUCCGUAGCCGGUUCUACAAGUCUUCCGUUAAAUCCACCUGCUUAACAGAUGGGCUGCGGAAGAUACUAUAGAGCUAGGAGGCGGGAGAGGCAAGCGGUACUCGAUGGGUAGGGGUAAAAUCCGUUGAUCCAUUGAAGACCACCAGUGGCGAAGGCGGCUUGCCAGAGCGCGCUCGACGGUGAGGGAUGAAAGCUGGGGGAGCAAACCGG
rnacentral:rRNA from 1 species